AAGCGAAGCCUUGAAGACAUCCUUUUCCUCCCUCGCUCCCCGACACCCCCCUGAACUCUGCUCGUUAGCUCAUGAGGUGCUCUGCUGUUGCCACGGGGAAGGUCAAAGAAGAACUGGAAGAACAGGAAGCUCAGGGGACGAUAAGACCUGAUCAGACUUGCCCUGAGGACGCCGGCAACAUUCAAAUGCCAGCAUGUGACCACCCCCUCCUCCGACAACCUUUCUUCCGAUGUGCUGCUCUGCAGGAGGAAGAUGACAUGACACCUGAGAGACCCCCCCACUCAUCCGGUUUCCUCUCACUUCCCUGCUAUCGUCUGCUCUCCGGUUCCCCUGCGGUCGUCUGAACAGCCUCAAAUAACUCUGCAGUGAUGAGACAGCAGCUUCACAUCCACCCUGCGUCUCCAUCUUCUACAAUUAAUGGAUGUUUAAUAGAAGAGGUUCUAACAAGGUGAUGCAGACUGGGGCUGAUGUUAGUUUCCAGGUUCAUUCUGCAUGGAUUUUCAGAAAAUAUAUUUUAUAAGUAAGGUUUUCAAUCUGACGUUAUAACCAGACAUCAACAUUGUUUUAUUUCUCGGUGAAAUCUUUCAUCUGAAAAUGAUUUCAUCGUUGGAAUCUCUUGACAGCUGUUGACAGAUGUUUAAUUCCACAUAACAAUGUUAGAAAGUCUCAAUAUAAACUGCACAGUACAUCUUGUCGCUUUGAAGCUUUCUCGACAGAUGGAUUUCAGAAACAACGCCCACCAUUACAACCACCCUCCCUCUGUCAAAUACCCAUCACUCCUCACUGCACAACUGUUGUUGAGUUAACCAGCAGCAACAUACAUGAAGUUGUCAAAUCACAAAUGAAUGACAAUCCUUCCGAUUUAUAAUUAAACCACAGAAUCAAAAGAGAUUACUUUCCUCCAGCGAGGAGCGAAUGUUUUCAUCUCGGUUUGAUUGUCUGUCUGUUAGUGGGAUUACAGGAAAAGGAAAGAAAGCAUUGGUGCAGGAUUUGUUUUCACUGUCUUUGUAUAACAAUUUCAUUGAUUUCUCACAGAAUAAUUCAUGGAUCUUGAUGAAAUAAAUGAGGCAUGUGAAGUGGAUUGGGUUAGUAUGCAACCCUAAUGUGGUUGCAUACGGGUUAGUGUUACCUUGGUGGAGGUUUUAGUUCUCUGAGUGACAUUCUUGUUUGAUUUAGUCCCAGGCUUGGAUGACAAAACCAAGACAAAAGCAAGAUGCUGGUUACAUAAUAAAUAUCCUCCAUCCACAGACCAACAGGAAGUUCAAAAUCAAACAGGAAACACAUUUGUCAUUAACACAAACAGAUGCGAAUGUGACGUUCCUCAAAUACAUUUAAAAAUAGCACAGGAUCCAAAUCCAUCAACUCACUACAAACAAAAUAUAAAACCCUGUUUGACACGGACGCAAACAUUCAAACUUAACCUUACACAACUGUCAUCAUCUUCUAAAUCCAGAAAUCUGUGGUUCACAUAUCUUGAAAACUGUUCAUCUUAUCGCCUCCACUCUUUAACCCUCUAAUGUGCAGUGUUGACUUUGGUUAGAUUUUGAAAUGUGAUACGUUCAACAUUAAUAAACUUUAC